UGGCCUAUGAGAGGUAUCAAUGAUGGAUUUCAUUCUCUGAUCAUCAUAGAUAAGUUUCUUACCUUUUCUUCAUCAAUUCUUUAUUUUUUUUUUUCUCUUUUUUUUUUGCCUUUCACCUUCUUCUUAUUCUCUCCUACCUCUUUGGCAAUCUCCAAUUCUCUAACCCUAAAUGUAAACCCUAACCCUAAUCCCAGUUCUAACCCUAACCCUAAUCUCAACUCAAAUCCUAACCUAACCAUAGCUUGAACCUUAAACAUAACCCUAACCCUAGCAUUAACCCUAACCCUAGUCCUAACCCUGACCCUAACCAUAAGCUUAACUCCAAUUCUAAACCUAACGCU
rnacentral:lncRNA from 1 species